rnacentral:rRNA from 1 species
UACGGAGGGUGCGAGCGUUGUCCGGAUUUAUUGGGUUUAAAGGGUGCGUAGGUGGCUAUUUAAGUCAGUGGUGAAAUACAGCCGCUCAACGGUUGAGGUGCCAUUGAUACUGAUUAGCUUGAAAUAAUUGGAGGCUGCCGGAAUGGAUGGUGUAGCGGUGAAAUGCAUAGAUAUCAUCCAGAGCACCGAUUGCGAAGGCAGGUGGCUACGAUUAUUUGACACUGAGGCACGAAAGCAUGGGGAGCAAACAGG